ACAUCGAUGGUUAAUUUAAACAAUAUAUCAUCCAGCAUGUAUUUUAUUAGAAAUAAUCAAACAAUGAAACAUGUAUAUCAGAACACUCAAGCAUUAUUAGACAUAAGCAUUAUUUCACUAUUCACAGAAUUCAGAAAGUAGGUGAUAGAGGACAUACCUGGAUAGCAUAGAUAAUUUGUAACGUGCUUCCUCAAGUUGUAAGGGGUUAGAUAACAAAUAAUAAAAUAUAGAAAUCCUAGCAUGCUCGUUAUCUAAUUAGCAUAGCAAAAGUGAUCAAAGUAUACAGAAUCAUCAAUUAUCACAUACAUCUUGUAUAUAAUUCCUAAAAAAAUAGAUAGACAUGAUUCCAACAAGUGUCAAAUAUGGCAACAAAAAUAAAUUUCGAAAAGAUUUUCUUAUGUAGGGGUUUCACCAAUUCCCCAAUCGAUAUACACGAAUUUAGCUUAGAAUUAUCCCAUUUAUUUGGGACCACAAGCUUUGAUUCGUGUUUUAUUCAAAACUGUAAUUUUAUUUGAAAGAUGUGAACCGAUCAAAACAUGGUUGCACAUUAUUUUAAAAAAUGAGAUUUUGAUUCUAAGAACUCUAAAUGAAUUUUUGAAAUGGAUUUUUAAGGAAAAUGAGAUUUUGAGA
rnacentral:lncRNA from 1 species